CUUCCGUCGAGAUGGCGUCGUCUGAACCCUCCGGGGAAAACGUUUCUGAAACGAAAAACACAACUUUCAACAAUGGAUCUCUUGGCUCCGGCAUCGAUGAAGAACGCAGCGAAACGCGAUAGCUAGUGUGAAUUGCAGAUUUCAGUGAAUCAUCGAGUCUUUGAACGCACAUUGCGCCUCUUGGUAUUCCUCGAGGCAUGCCUGUUCGAGCGUCGUUACGCCCCUCAAGCGCGAGCUUGGUGUUGGGGACCGCCCCUGAGACACGGCGGCGGCCCCGGAAUGCAUCGGCGGUGCUGGUCCCAGCCCGGAGCGCAGCAGACAUGCGGCUCCGCGGGCGGGGCCGGCGCCCGCCGGACAAACGACGAGACC
rnacentral:misc_RNA from 1 species